rnacentral:rRNA from 1 species
UACGAGAUGGAGUUGGUUGGCCUUCGGGUAACGUACUGACACAGGUGCUGCAUGGCGUGUCGUCAGCUCCGUGUCGUGAGAUGUUGGGUUAAGUCCCGUAACGAGCGCAACCCUUGUCCUUAGUUUACCAGCACGUUAUGGUGGGCACUCUAAGGAGACUGCCGGUGACAAACCGGAGGAAGGUGGGGAUGACGUCAAGUCAUCAUGGCCCUUACGGCCUGGGCUACACACGUGCUACAAUGGUCGGUACAAAGGGUUGCCAAGCCGCGAGGCGGAGCUAAUCCCAUAAAACCGAUCGUAGUCCGGAUCGCAGUCUGCAACUCGACUGCGUGAAAUCGGAAUCGCUAGUAAUCGUGAAUCAGAAUGUCACGGUGAAUACGUUCCCGGGCCUU